rnacentral:sRNA from 1 species
CUGGAUUUUGAAGGCACUUUUUGCGACAGUAGAUCAUAGUGGGAAGAAUUGUACAUUGGUGCCUCUGGUGAAUUUUGGGCAUUUGAUCAUUUUGGGGGAGGAACCAAGACAACCUGGAAGUGAAGUGAAAGGAACAUAGGAAGGUAGAAAGAUGUGGCAUAUUACCUGAGAAAAAGUAGGAGACUUUCAGGUUGUGUUGAAGUAGGGUGGGUGAUUGGAACAGAAUUGCACUAGGAUGGAUUUAUGUUGAUAAUCAUCCAUCCAAGCUGGUUUUCCUAAAUCUAUUACUAAAUUGGAUCUUUUUCCUUCUUAUCUUUGCUGAAGUAGAAUUCCCUCUUUUCAUCUCUAACAAUCCCUACACAUAGCCCAGUUAUGUUGCUGAAUUUACCAGUAAUUCUUUUUUGUUUCUCUCUUGGAAAUAGGGAAACUUUGUGGCUGGAAAAUACAAAUGUCUUCUAUGUCAGAAAGAAUUUGUGUCAGAGAGUGGUGUCAAGUAUCACAUCAACUCUGUCCAUGCUGAGGACUGGUUCGUUGUAAACCCAACAACAACCAAAAGCUUUGAAAAGCUGAUGAAGAUAAAGCAGCGGCAGCAAGAAGAAGAAAAGCGGAGGCAGCAGCACAGGAGCAGAAGGUCUCUAAGAAGGCGGCAGCAGCCUGGCAUUGAGCUUCCCGAGACAGAGCUGAGUCUUAGAGUAGGGAAGGAUCAGAGGAGGAAUAAUGAGGAACUGGUAGUGUCAGCCUCCUGUAAGGAACCAGAGCAGGAGCCAGUGCCAGCACAGUUCCAGAAAGUAAAGCCCCCAAAGACUAAUCAUAAACGAGGAAGGAAAUAGGCAGUCAGUGUAAAAGUGCUCCUAGGAAAGCAGAUGUGAUGCUGUUGUCACGGGGACCUGUGCUGGGAGGACUGAGUGAAGAUUCUUUCAGCUGUUUGUGUAAGGCUGUGACUUUCUCAGCUCCUUCCUCCUGUGUAAAUUUCACUGUCUUCCCUUCUUACACUUUGAUUCCCCCUCCCCUUUUAGUAGGUUUUCCUGCUAUUCCUCGUCAAGUCCUCUUGUUUUUUUAUCUUGCCCAAAGAGCUCCCUCUCAAGGCCAACUAUAGGCUCCUCUUGCCCUGUACAAAACUAAGAAACCUCUUUGGUUGUCCUUUCCUUCCUGGGGUAUAGAAUGUUCUUGGAAGCUCCAUGAUUUAGUAGCUGCUCCAUCAUCUAGCUUGUGAAACCAUUCCAAACUAAUUUUUUAAAACCAUAACUGAUUUGUCAUUUUGUAUUUGUGAUAUAACAAGUCUAGAAGCUAGAAGUGUUGUCAUUCACAUAAUAAGAUUACUCUGUCUCCUUGGGAAAAAAACUUUAUGGAGGCUGUUUGUCCUCUCAAUAUGGUUUUAAGAUUGAAAGUAAGAAAACGGAUUUAGGAUGAAAACUCUAGAACUACCCUAUGCUGUUUAUACUGGGAAAUGCUUUGUACCAAGUAGCAGUGACUAGACCCACAGACAUGAAAAGCAACCUUAGGAGUAAAGUGACCCAAACAUUAAAAUGACAGGAAAGAGAAAGUAGAAGCAGCAAUAAAUACUGCCCCAACUUUCCUGGAGCCCGAGGCCUCAUCCAUAGCUAUGAUCACUUGCCCUCUGAAGCUUAUUUUUGCUUCUUUGGUUUUAAGAAUUGAGAAAUAUCACAUUGCCCCUGAUGUUUUGACAGUCUCCUAGUGCUCCUGGUAGUGCCACUAAGGGAAAACCAAGGUGCGCAUUCCUUCUCCCUGGACUUUACCUUACUUGUUAGUCUACGCCCCACUGUUUUCACCCAUCCCCUUAGCCAACCUCUGUCUUUUUGAAUUUUCUGAGAAUAUUGUCCUAUCCUCUUUUAUAUAUGGAGUUCUCUCCUCUUUAUAUCCUGAGACUUUGACACCAGAUGUAGAUAUUUAUCUGGAGCUGGAAAGAAAAAUUCUUUUUCUGUACCUCAUGCCUAUCUGGUAAUGUUUAAUGGGUUAUUUCUCUUUGAGGGUGGCUUUCUCUGGAACAUUGGUUAGAGCAGGUUUGUUGUCGUGUUUCUGGAUUCUCUUCCCCAUUUUGCGUAAAUAUUGGUCUUAUAUAUUCUUGCCUAUUUUGUGGCAUAUGCCACAUAAAAAAUGAACCCUGAUACAGACAAGUACUACCUUUUCAAAUUCUGAAAGGCUAUUACCACUUUAACUCUUUGUGCUCCUCCAAAUAGCUUUAAAAUGUGGGCUUUUGUGAAGACCACUUUCAAACAAGGGAGCACUGAAACCUGAAUUGGAUACUGCCAGAAUAGGUAGUUUUGAAACAAGUUAAGGACAUGGUAUAUGCACUCUGCAUUUUCAUUGGCAGUGUGCCCUUAAAGCCCUUUCAGUAGAUGAGGGUUGUCAGGGAGGAGAAAUGAAGAAGCUAUGUUAAUUUCUGGUGAGUAAGACCUGGGGAAUGUUUGGCAAUGACAAAAGAAAUAAAUGACUCUCAGAAAGA